GGACGAUACGAAAGAUGUUGGAAAAAUACAAAAAAUCUGACUGGUGUAUGUUGCAACAUGUGGUUCGUGUUUACGCUUCUCAGUAAACCUGUGAAGAGGUCACCGGCCUUGACUGAACACUCGACCGUACGUACUUUUGUAAAA
ensembl:ncRNA ZK867.11 ncRNA